GGUAUUUUCCCCUUUGUCUUCUAAUACGUUCAGUGUGGCUGGAUUUAUGUUGAGUUCUUUGAUCCAUUUGGACUUAAGUUUUGUGCAUGGCAAUAGACACGGAUCUAUCUGCAGGCUUCUACGUGCCAGCAUCCAGUUAUGCCAGGUACAGGAGACUGCUUCCUGAACAUUACACCAGUAGCACAGACACUGAGAUCAGCAAUUGAUAAAUGGGACCUCCUGAAACUGAGAAGCUUCUGUGAGGUUCAGUAUUCUUAUUGACUAUCUCUCUCUUAAGUAUUACCCCAUUUCUAUUAAUCUAUAUAUCUCCACAUGAUAUAUAGAUUACCAGAGAAUGCCCAGCCAUCCUACCUUCCUACAUGGCAUCCUUCCACUUUACUUCCUACCUCUCUCUGUCUUUGUUGAAAUUUCUUGCCUGGCUAAAUCCUGCCUGUCCAUUGGUUGAAACAGCUUUAUUCAUUGGCCCAUAAGAGAAACAUAUAUUCACAGCAUACAGAAACAUAUCCCCCAUCAGGUGGUUGACAUUAGUCCUGUUACUUGCAAGGCUUUUUGAUAUCAUUAAUAGUAAGCAGUAAGAAGUAGAAACAAAUGAUCCUUGCCCAGGUCAUGGUACAGGAUCAGGUACUUCUCUGGGAAAGUUAGGCACAGAAAACCCAACACUUCCUCUUGGUUCUCAAUCUUGUCAGCAAUGUCUGGUCAGACAAAAUGCGGGAGCGGCAGAUGGUGGUAGUCAUAGACCUAUGAUGGCAGAGCUGUGGUGGGAAAUGUGGGUGGGCUUGCCCAGAAACACAACUUAGUCAUCCCCUAGCCAUGUGUGCCUGGAGGUGGGCAUUUCCUGGGGUUUUCUCUCCCAUAUUCAUUUAGUCAUAGUGCCUGCCAGGAGAGAAUUAGAGUGGGUUAUGCCUGGAAAUAGACACAAUUCUUCCUAGGGGCUCCUAUGAAUGUGUACACCCAGGGAUAAACUGCAGACACGUGUUUUCUCUCCCAGACUCCAGAUGUAGUUCCUGCUUGGAAAUGCAUGGAGUUGAUUGAAUUGGGAGCUUGGAAAAUUCCUUCUCCAGGGUAUUCAGAAUUCAGUAGGCAUGAGGCAGUUUAUUUUCAGACCAUCCUUGGUUGUGUGUGUGUGUGUGUGUGUGCUGUCAGGAUGAGGCAAUAUCUGGAUGCUUGGCAAUACUAUGAAUUUGCAUGAGACCAUGUAAGCAUAUUUAUGUAUAUAAACAAGGGUACUUCCUCUGUGCCAGGUUUCUCUAUAUGCACAGGAGAAAGAAGAUGGCUGGAACUUUGUGAACAACGAUUUUCAGUAUUGACAUCACUAUGAUCUUUUACCAGACUGGCUGUUGUUGGUCGAGGAGGAAGAACUUUGCAAUUCUUUAGUUCUUUAGUGUAUCACCUUGAAAUCCCCUCUUCUUAGUAUAGAGCACCCAGUAAGUCUGAGGUAGACUUACUCUGUAGGACCAGUUUUGGUUUACAUGACAGCUAUGUGCUGUGUAUUGUCUUUGGGACUAUGUACUUGGGACUAUGUACAUGGGACUAUUCUGGGGUCUGUGACUCUCUAGAAUAGUGGGAAUUCAGACAAGUAGGUCCUCUCUCAAGAUGGCUUCUGGCUCCUGGCUUCCACAUUGUGUGACAUCCUUUUCUGAUGCAAGGUUCCUGUAUAGAUUUCACUUACUUACCUUGUUAGAUUACAAGUCUGUUAGGACAUUGAAUGUAUUAAUAGCUAGGAAUCCUGCUAUCCUUGCUGAUUUAGUUUACUGGGACUGUAUUCUUAACCCUUAUCAUAAAGAAGGGAGACUAACCCUCUUCUGGCUGUGGUGCGAUGAUGGCAUGUACUAGGAUAUUUGAUUUCUCUAUGUUACCCUUCUGGUGUCUAAAUCUUACAAGUUUUCUGUUUUUCUGCUAUUGAUUUUCAGUGUUCUCCCACACCAACUCAUUUCAGAAUAUAGCCAUGCAGCUGUCACUUUGAAUCCUUCGUGUAGAGAGCAGGUGCUUGCUGGGCAUCUCUCAGCCAGUUUCCUUCACCUCUUAUUGGUGUUUUUCUAACUUAGUGAUUAUCAUCACAGUUAUUUAGCCUAGUCUGAUUAAGAUUGUUAGCCAGGCUACAAUUUUGUACAAAAUGAAUGAGAGCUAUAAGGAAACAGCUGAGAUUUCAAAGUGCUCUUACUGUACCUGAACUUUGUACAUACCAGUCACCCUGUUCUCAGUUAACUGGGAUGCUCUGAUACCUUCAGAACCUCCCAGACCAAAUAUUUCCUGAUGGGAGAAUUCUCUACAAUCCUCCACUUGCCCUCUAAUUAAACCAAUCUUGUCUCUUCAAAUUGUUUUGGUCACUUUGGCUGUGCACCUGAUUGAUUGCCUACAACCUGCAAAGAAUUUCUAAUAAUGUAGGCUCUUGUGGGAUUCCGAUGUCAAAUUCCUAGUCUGACAUUUGUUCCCAGGUGGAGGUGUCACACUUAGUAGAGAUGUGUUCUCACACCUCCUGUUAAAUGCUUCCUUUCCUUAAUAAUUCCCCAUGUUCUUUAAUCUUGAUUUUUCUGGGGGAGGCAUGAGUGUAUUUUCUCCAGCACCAACAAAGCUGACUGGAAAAGACAGAUAUUUCUUAUUUGCCUUUAAUCUUAUUUUUAGUGGUCCCUAGUUUUUGGUCUUGAACAAAUUAUCAAAUUAAGGUUGGUGUUCAAUAUUUGGGGGGGGGGAGCCCUGUUUGCUUUUCUUCCAUUCACCUUAAGUCUGCUUUGGGACAUAAUUUAGGUACAGAAUUUAAAACCACACACACAAGAGGCUUUCAAUUUCUUAGUUUUGUUUACAUCUUUGCUUCUUCCUCAGUGUUACUGGUUUCCUGGGUCAGAUUUAAAUUUGUUGUCUCAUUAUUGUGAGAAAUUGACAAGGGAGGAUAGUUGUAAGAUGGGCAGGGUGGCAGGGUUCACUGAGAAAUAAAGGAAACAGCUUUCUGUAUUCAGAAAGGAACUUGAAAAUCAGUUGCCAAGUAGUGAUUUGGAGUGAGGUUUUAUGUACUGGAAAGAAUACAAUUUGAUUCAUUACAUAUGUAAAUUAGAUAUGGAGCAGGGAUGAAUCUGGUUGGUUAAUUCGAGUGUGUGUGUGUGAAUUCUGAUUGGUUGAUGGGCUGGGUAGAAUACCACAGUCUCAGGAAAGUCCUCCAGUGGGAAACCAGUUACAAAAGGUUAUGGAUGUGGGUGUGGGGUCCUGCAGGUAGAGGUGGGUGGAGACCCAGGAAGUUGAAAAGGCAAAGGCUGGUGAUAAAAUUAGUGAGAUCUUGACGAGUUAAGGAUUUGGGAUUUGAGUUUCUGAGUGUGUAUAAAGUUCAGUAUAAAAAUCUCCACAUCCUUGGAUCUCACUACGAGUUCUUUCAGGGCAUGUGGACAUUGUUGUUUUCCUUGGGCCUAUAACACUAACUACCUAUAGAAUAGGGCCUCCUUCCUCCUAAUUCUAAUUCAUGUAGAUUUAAUUCUGGCUGAUUGAUUAAUGAACUGAUAAAAUGCCUAUUGUACAGUAAAAUUAGUUAUGCAGCAAAAAAAUUUUUAAGGGUAAACUGGCACAAUUCAUCAAGCUCUAUGCCAGACAUGGAGCCUCCUUCUGUAAAACUCAAAAUGUGGAUAUCAUGCCUUUAUUGAGUAGAUGACCCCUGAAGCUUACACAGCAAUUAGAAUUUGAAAUAAGGCAAACUGUCUUUCAAGCUCACACCCUUUAGUUCACAUUAUACUAUGCUGCUUACUUGGUCUUCUAUCUAUAAGCAAUUACACAUACUAAUUUAGCUGUCUUAUUUUGGUAGCUAAACUAAGGGUAGGUAAAAAUUGAAAACAUUGCUCUUGGUUACUAUAUAAUGAGCUGUGGAGGAAGUCACCAUUCCCAUCUUUACAAGAGAGAAAAACUCAGGCUUACUGAAAAUAAAGUGGUUGUUUUUCCACAGAUAAUUCAAACCAAUGAGAUAGCAAAGCAAAGCAUGGCUGUGAAAUCCAGAGAGACAGGAGACUCCUCUGCCAGCCUGACCCCUACCAUGGUACCCUCUGCUCCUGUCUUAUUCCUAUCCAACUUCCCAUUCUCCCUGGAUUCCUCUGGGCCUGCACCUGUUUAAAGUGGACCCACCCAGGCAGGGAGAAGCUUCCUGAGUCUGGCAAUACCUCACCAUUCCUUCCCCCUCUGCUGCUGGCCUGACCCCUACCAAGCCUGACCCUUACAGAGUGAGGAGACUACCAGGAGAGGCAAGACAAUACAGAGCUGCAGACCUUGAAGUCCUGCCCACACACACUACCAGGUGACAAGAGGAGAUAGAGAGACCCCAUCUGCACACACUGGAAGAAGACAUGUGAAGAAGACUGAAUAAGAACACACUCAACAACAGAAAGACCAAUAUCAUACCACCAGAAUCAAGGGACUCCACACCUGCAAGAUCUGAAAAGCCCAACACAGAGGAUGAAGAAGAGAUGGACCUCAAAAAUUAUCUUAGGAAGAUGAUAGAGACCUUUAAAGAGGAAACACGAAAAUACUUUAAAGAAAUAGAAGAAAA